CCUACGGGAGGCAGCAGUGGGGAAUAUUGCACAAUGGGGGAAACCCUGAUGCAGCGACGCCGCGUGAGUGAAGAAGUAAUUCGUUAUGUAAAGCUCUAUCAGCAGGGAAGAAAAUGACGGUACCUGAGUAAGAAGCCCCGGCUAACUACGUGCCAGCAGCCGCGGUAAUACGUAGGGGGCAAGCGUUAUCCGGAUUUACUGGGUGGAAAGGGAGCGUAGACGGCAGUGCAAGUCUGGAGUGAAAGGCGGGGGCUCAACCCCCGGACUGCUCUUGAAACUGGAGGGCUGGAGUGCAGGAGAGGUAAGUGGAAUUCCUAGUGUAGCGGUGAAAUGCGUAGAUAUUAGGAGGAACACCAGUGGCGAAGGCGACUUACUGGACUGUAACUGACGUUGAGGCUCGAAAGCGUGGGGAGCAAACAGGAUUAGAUACCCCUGUAGUC
rnacentral:rRNA from 1 species